rnacentral:rRNA from 1 species
CUGAGAUGAGUCUUCCCUGACCCCUUGAGGGUCCUAAAGGGUUGUUCGAGACUAGAACGUUGAUAGGCAGGGUGUGUAAGUGCUGUGAGGCAUUGAGCUAACCUGUACUAAUUGCCCGUGAGGCUUAACCAUACAACACCCAAAGGGUUUUG